rnacentral:rRNA from 1 species
UACGUAGGGUCCGAGCGUUGUCCGGAAUUACUGGGCGUAAAGAGCUCGUAGGUGGUUUGUCGCGUUGUUCGUGAAAACUCACAGCUUAACUGUGGGCGUGCGGGCGAUACGGGCAGACUGGAGUACUGCAGGGGAGACUGGAAUUCCUGGUGUGGCGGUGGAAUGCGCAGAUAUCAGGAGGAACACCGGUGGCGAAGGCGGGUCUCUGGGCAGUAACUGACGCUGAGGAGCGAAAGCGUGGGGAGCGAACAGG